UUUCACUGACAAAGCAUCAACUCUUUCUUUAAGACUGGAGAGGUCAGUUAUAAUACAAGUGAUUCAUUUUUCAGGAGGAUUUGAAAGAACAUUUUUAGAGUCUGAGGCCAUUGUGAUUAUGCCCAGAAUCCAGAAAAGGUCAAAACUGGUGGAAGACAUGCAGGAGACCAUGAAUCUCAAGAAACACCUCGUCCAAUCCCCUAGCAAGAUUCAAUCUGCUCCAGGUGUUUAUUUCUCUUACGUUUAUCACCAGAUUCCUGGCUUCAGAAAGUUAGAAUAUCUUCCCAAUUUAAGAAAACUGCUUUCCAAACUUCCAGGUGCUUUAACCAUAUCAUAGUUAUGCUGACU